CCUACGGGUGGCAGCAGUGGGGAAUAUUGCACAAUGGGGGAAACCCUGAUGCAGCAACGCCGCGUGGGUGAAGAAGUAUUUCGGUAUGUAAAGCCCUAUCAGCAGGGAAGAGAAUGACGGUACCUGACUAAGAAGCUCCGGCUAACUACGUGCCAGCAGCCGCGGUAAUACGUAGGGGGCAAGCGUUAUCCGGAGUUACUGGGUGUAAAGGGAGCGUAGACGGUUGUGCAAGUCUGAAGUGAAAGCCCGGGGCUCAACUGCGGAACGGCUUUGGAAACUGUGUAACUGGAGGGCUGGAGAGGUAAGCGGAAUGCCUGGUGUAGCGGUGAAAUGCGUAGAGAUCAGGAGGAACACCGGCGGCGAAGGCGGCUUACUGGACAGUAACUGACGUUGAGGCUCGAAAGCGUGGGGAGCAAACAGGAUUAGAUACCCUUGUAGUC
rnacentral:rRNA from 1 species